AAAAUGGAGCCACACAGUAUUGUAGCCAAUUAGGUUUAUUCGAGGCGUGAUUAUUGCUAAUUGAAAGAUAAUUGCUAAUUGAAAAAUGGAGCCACAGCUCCAUUUCUGCCUUUUUGCUGGGUACUCAUAGAUGAG
rnacentral:snRNA from 1 species